CAUGUGUGCUAUGUCAUAGUUUUGAUGUCUUCACUAUUAUUCUGACUGGUACUGUAAAUAUAUAAAGUUAGUUACAGUAUUUGCUGUACUGAUCUACCAGUACUGACUUCCUCUAGGUAACGCGCCUCUACAGAAACAAGCUCCAUCCAUUGUUGCCUUGACAAAGUGAUGAUAAGGAGAGACGCACAGGAAGAAGGGAACCGCAGGCUCUGGGAGAUGUGAGGAUGAUGAUGAAGAUGAGAAUAAAGGAUGAAGCCAGGGAAACAGAAGGGCCACACUAAACAAGGACCCCAAGGGGCCGUCGGUUGGCAGCUUUUCAUGUCUGUUUUUUGUUCUGUUUGUAGAUUUGACUGUUUCUUUGUUUCUGGGGCGAUUUUGUUUGUUUUGUGCGAUGAGUCAGUUCUUGCAGCCAGGGGUCUUUUGUAAACUGUUGCUCCACACAAGCUAUGUUUGUUGCUAGUGAGUGUGUGCUUUAGAGUGUAGCUUCGUUAGCAGCCUUUCUAAAAAAAAACAUUUCCAUGACAUAGACUGACCAGGUGAAUCCGGGUGAAAGCUAUGAUCCCUUAUUGAUGUCACUUGUUAAAUCCACUUCAAUCGAUGUAGAUGAAGGGGAGGAUAUAGGUUAAAGAAGGAUUUUCAAGCCUUGGCACAAAUUGAGACAUGGAUUGUGUAUGUGUGCCAUUGAGAGGGUAAAUGGACAAGACAAAAUAUUGAAGUGCCUUUGAACGGGACAUGGUAGUAGGUGCCAGUGGUGUAAAGUACUUAAGUAAAAAUACUUGAAAGUACUACUUAUGUAGUUUUUUUUAGGUAUCUACUUUACUA